UGAGCCUACCAAAUCUUCACCAAGCACACAUGGGGGUCACACUUCUGAUGAGCUCUGGGAACUUGAGGAUCCUAGCUCCAAGGAGUCCAUGAUUCCUCCAGCCUCUAAUCAUGACCUUUGCUUGGUCCCUCUGGCAAUGUAUGACUAUGGGAGCACAGAGAAUGUAAAAUUACUCUGAGUUGAAGUUCACCCAUUAUUCCAAGAGGCCAAGAAGGACUGCUUUACCAAGACACAUCAGCAUGAUACACU
rnacentral:lncRNA from 1 species